AUUGAACGCUGGCGGCAGGCUUAACACAUGCAAGUCGAGCGAGCGGCGGACGGGUGAGUAAUGUCUGGGAAACUGCCUGAUGGAGGGGGAUAACUACUGGAAACGGUAGCUAAUAACGCAUACCAUCAGAUGUGCCCAGAUGGGAUUAGAUAUUAGUGGGGGUAAUGGCUCACCUAGGCGACGAUCCCUCGCUGGUUUGAGAGGAUGAACAGCCACACGGGGACUGCGGUACGGUCCAGACUCCUACGGGAGGAAGCAGUGUGGAAUAGUGCACAAGGGGCGCAAUCCUGAUGCCGCCAUGCCGAGUGUAUGAAGAAGGCCCUAGGGUUGUAAAGUACUUUCAGUCGGUAGGCGUUACCGACAGAAGAAGCACCGGCUAACUCCGUGCCAGCAGCCGCGGUAAUUC
rnacentral:rRNA from 1 species